ACUGCACAAAACGCCUGCACGUCUAAGUACAACUAAAUGAGGUGAAACUGCAAAGGCUCAUUACAACGGUUAUGAUGUACCCGGGAGUUCCGAUGGAUAUUUCCAGUAACACUAGAACUAAUACAUGUCCCUGCGUUUAUUAGUUUCGCACAGUCCGUCGCUGAGUCAUGGUAAACAGUUGAUCGACUCGACGUCCCGGAACAGUUUCCGCCCCAUCAGCUUCGAUGGUUGGGUAUUGGCCUACCAUUGCAACAACGGGUAACGAGGAAUUAGGGUUUGAUUUCGGAGAGGGAGCCUGAGAAACGGCUACCACAUCUACGGAUGGCAGCAGGCGCGCAAAUUACCCAAUGCAGACACUGUGAGGUAGUGACGAGAAAUAAUAAAGCGGGACUUCUGUUUCGCUAUUAUAAUGAGGAAUAACCAAAGGUCAUUCCGAUUAGCAACUGAUGGGAAAGUCUGGUGCCAGCAGCCGCGGUAAUACCAGCGUCAGUAGCAUAUAU
rnacentral:rRNA from 1 species